UUUGCUACUCAAUUUCUAUAUUUGCCUGGUUUUACGAUUUUAAAUCGUAGUUUCAUUAUGCCCUACAUUGUUGUGCUGUAUUGACACUGUAAUCACAUAGUUAAUACUGUUAAAAGUCCAGUUAUGAAUGACAAGACAUGGAGCAAUGAUUUGUUGCUUUUUUUGUUUAUAAAACAAUAAGGUUCAUUCAUGAUAAUUAUUUCAUGUGUAUUGUUCACAUAUAGUGCCUUGCAGAAGAAGAACACUUGCAUUAGUUCUCCUACUUGAAGGACUGCAGAGGAGGGGUAGAGGGCGAAGGAGCCGAUUCUGGGUUCAUCCCCUCAACCAGAAAAGAAGACAACAAGGCGAUUUUCACCAUCUGGUGGCUGAACUGAGGCUGGACAGUCAACGCCACCAUCAGUAUUUCCGAAUGAGUGCAGAGCAAAUGGACGAACUUCUAUCCCUCAUCGGCCCUGAAGUGACCAGGCAAAGCACAAACUACAGAGCUGCCAUAGAACCUAAGCAGAGACUGGCUGUAGCACUAAGGUAAGCCACAAACAAAUGAAAUCACAGACCACAAGCUGAAGAAACAUUUUUUAAUACGGUUUCAACAUAUAAACGUUAUAAAUAAAUAUAUAAAGUGAAAAAAGAUUUUCAAAAACAAGAAUAAAAACUUAAAAAUAGUAACAAAUGUAAAGAAAACUGGCAAACAAGCAACGCUUGUACUACGUGUAGUAUGGGUCGUUCGGGUCUUCCCAGUCAGGACUCAUUUGUGUGAACGACUCUGUUUGUGUGGGGGGGUGAAUUGGUUGAAUAGGAGAAGGCAACUGUGUUGGGGGAGGAGGAGGUUGAGAUUGUGGGGGUCGGGAUGUUUGUCCCAGAGCGGGGGGAGGUAAAGGUGGAGGUUGGCCACUUUCGAGGUGGUGAAGAACAGUGAGGAUCUCCAUUUUGGCCUGUUGCCGACUGUCCUUGUUUAAGCGGUGCAACAUUGGCACAAUGCUCAUCGCAAAAUGAUAUGCCUCGUCCAGCUCGUCAUCGGGUAUAUGGGGUUUUGGCACCGGCUGCUCCAGCAAAGACAUCAGCCGGUCCCCAAUGCCUGUGUCUAUCGGUCUUUGGCCUCUUCUGGUUUCCCUGGGGGCCUGCGCUGCAACAGCCGGCCUUGAAAUAUUUCUGUCCCUGGGGUUCCGGGACCUAGAGGCAGACAGUGCUGAGGUUGAUGGAGCCGGAGAUGUCGAAGGCUGUUGCAAUGAAAUGCCAGGGGUGCUGGACCGACCCUCAGACCGGUCUGACUGAGGGGUACAUGGCUUCUGGAGAUUCACUAGUGAGUCUGGCAUAUAGCUACCGCCUGGGGCACACUACUGUAAGGAACUCAGUCCACAUGGUGUGUGCUGCCGUUGAAAAAAUGAUGAUGGAGAGGUUCCUACCCAGGCCAACACAAGAGACAUGGGAGGAAGUGGCUCAAGGCUUCUGGGAGAAGUGGAAUUUUCCAAACUGUCUGGGAGCAAUAGAUGGGAAGCAUGUGACCAUCCAAGCCCCAAGAAUGGGAGUCAGUAUUUCAAUUACAAGAAAACUUUCUCAAUAGUGCUUUUGGCACUUGUGGACUCGAACUACAGGUUCAGGGUCAUUCAAGUGGGGGACUUCGGAAGGACCAGUGAUGGCGGCGUAUAUGCUGGGUCAGCUCUCGGAAGAGGAAUGGAGACCAAAACGAUUCAUGUCCCACCCAGUACCUCUCUGCCUGGCGCUGCUCACUUGGGUGAUGUGUCACAUGUCAUGGUGGGUGAUGAAACCUUCCCACUGAAGCCAUACCUAAUGAGACCAUACCCCGGACAGAACCUCACUCACCAAAAGAGGAUAUUUAACUACAGACUUUCAAGGGCAAGGAUGGUGGUUGAGAAUGCUUUUGGCAUUCUGUCCUCCAGGUGGAGAAUCUUGCAUCGCAGGAUCAACCUGCACCCACAAAAUGUGGACACCCUUGUUUUCGCUGCAUGCAUUCUCCAUAACUUCCUGCUUUUCCCGAGAGAGAAUGUGAGGUUGCUGGAGGAGGCAGAGCAAUAGGGGAGAAACCUGCCAUCAGUACGCCACAUGGGAGGAAACAGAGCCUCGAGAGAGGCCUGUAAUGUGAGGGAAAUCUUCGACACCUAUUUCAACUCCCCACAAGGCAGUGUGUCUUGGCAGGACAGGAUGGUUUGAAAGUUUUGCCAAAAGUGUGGAAAAUGUCUAUAUUUGUAAAUAGAUGUUUUUUUGUUUUGUUUUUUCAUGCUCAUUACAGAUGAGAUAAUCUUUGUUGUAUUCUAAAAAUGUUAUCAUUCAUUGUAAAUAAAACAUUUGACAA